UUGAAAGGGAAACGAUUGAAGUCAGUCAUGCUGGUGGGAAUCAACUUAGGGGAAACUCUAGGUGCACUUCUUCGCUUGGCAGGUUAACGUCGAUCUUGAAUGUCAUAAAAUAAUUGGGGGAAGGUAGCUCCUUCGGGAGUGUUAUAGCCCUUGAUAGAUGUGAUGUUUGGGGUCGAGGAUUGCAACGGAUACCCUUUGGGGCUAGCCGCCUGAUCUCUAAUCGGUGUUGGGUUACGGAUAGCAUGCUGACCGUGAUCUAAUUACUGGUUAAAAGGUUAGAGCGUGCAUGAAUUCGUUAAGGAUGUUGACGUA
rnacentral:rRNA from 1 species